rnacentral:rRNA from 1 species
GCGUGAGUGAAGAAGGCCCUAGGGUUGUAAAGCUCUUUCACCUGUGAAGAUGAUGACGGUAGCAGGACAAGAAGCCCCGGCUAACUCCGUGCCAGCAGCCGCGGUAAUACGGAGGGGGCUAGCGUUGCUCGGAAUUACUGGGCGUAAAGGGCGCGCAGGCGGAACACAUAGUCAGACGUGAAAGCCCCGGGCUUAACCUGGGAAUUGCGUUUGAUACUUGUGAUCUGGAGUCUCGGAGAGGGUGGUGGAAUUCCCAGUGUAGAGGUGAAAUUCGU